GACGAACGCUGGCGGCGUGCCUAAUACAUGCAAGUAGAACGCACAGUUUAUACCGUAGCUUGCUACACCAUAAACUGUGAGUUGCGAACGGGUGAGUAACGCGUAGGUAACCUGCCUGGUAGCGGGGGAUAACUAUUGGAAACGAUAGCUAAUACCGCAUAAUAUUGAUUAUUGCAUGAUAAUUGAUUGAAAGAUGCUAUUGCAUCACUACCAGAUGGUGCUGCGUUGUAUUAGCUAGUAGGUGAGGUAACGGCUCACCUAGGCGACGAUACAUAGCCGACCUGAGACGUUCAUCGCCCUCACUGGAACUGAGACACGGGCCGAAGCGCUGCAGUCGGCAGCAGUAGGGGAUCUUCGCAAAUGAACGCAAGUCUGACAGAGCAACGCCGCGUGAGUGAAGAAUGUUUUCGGAUCGUAAAGCUCUGUUGUAAGAGAAGAACGGGUGUGAGAGUGGAAAGUUCACACUGUGACGGUAUCUUACCAGAAAGGUACGGCUAACUACGUG
rnacentral:rRNA from 1 species